CGCCCCGGAGGCCUCCGGUCGCCUGGCUCAGCCCCCGGAGGCUGCCGGCCUCCCGGCCCCACCCCGGCAUCCCCUGGCCCUGGCUGACUCGCCACCCCCGACACUGCAGCGCCUGCCGGCCUCGGGGCCCCGCCCUCUGCCUUCGCUCGCGCCGCGCUUCUUCGGUCUCCCCAGGGCCUGUUUCAUGGAUAGGGUCCCCUUGUCCGCGUGAAAAUCUCCUUCCUCCUCAGCUCAGAAACACUCCAAGGUCUCGGCGCCCGAUACUGGCCUUCCCUCAUCCGAAUACCCCUCGUGCCCCUGAUGUACUUUUCCAUUCCCACUCCCUACUCUGGCAGCCUAGCUUCUAAGCUGAGGAGCUUGGCCUUCGCUCCAGGUGCGGAGACUCGUGGAACGCUUUGAUUCGCGCUUAGAAAGAUCGCUCUGCUCCUGUGAGGAGGACGGCGUGUAAGGGCUGCAACCAGAGAGACACAGUCAGAAGCUCCGAGGCUACUGCGAUGGUCCAGGUGCCACAGGACACAGCCUAACAGAGGCCCAGGUUGGAGCCAUGGACCAUGGAGUCAUGAGAAUGGAAGGGAAGCUGACGCCAUGUGGGAUGGGGUAGAACUGUCCGCAAAUUCGUCCCGCCUCUGGAGUCUUCAGACCAGUCAAGGCCGAAAUUCAACCAAGCCUCUCCUCUCGUUGUUGUUUGUAGCACGUGGUCUGGUGGCAUCCUGCAGGAUUUACCAGCUUUUUGCCAACAUUCUGGCCUAUGCAAUCAGUACGUCCCUUCAGGGUUGCACUUGGAUGGAUUGGACCUAUAGUUGUUAUAUAUGGAUAUUGUCUAAAUUAUUUAUGACAGUAUUAACUGACUCCUAUGUUCUGGCCUUCAGAAUUUCUCCUUUGGAUCAAUUACUAGCCUGUCUUACAUUUUCUGCUUCAUUCUUUUAAAAUGUUUAGAGAUGAUUUGCUAACUUCUAAGUUUUCUUCAUUGCUGUCAAUGAUGCAAUUUAAACUGUCAAAAAAUUUUUUUCUCAAGCAGGGUAGUAAUGGUGAACCAUUCUCUUGCUAUUCAGACAGCAUGGUUUAGAUGAGGCGCACCUAUCCCCAGCUCUAGGAAUGGAAACAGGACCCAAGUCUGGCUAACCAGAAAUUGGUUUAGGGUCGGCCCCAUGGUCUGAGCCAGACCAAUGAGAAUUGGUAGAGGGACUUUUCUGGAACUAAAUAAAUGGAUCCUGGCUGGGCGUGGUGGUUCAUGCCUGUAAUCCCAGUACUCUGGGAGGCCGAGGCGGGUGGAUCAUCCGAGGUCAGGAGUUCGGGACCAGCCUGACCAACAUGGUGAAACCCCGUCUCUACUAAAAAUACAAAAUUAGCCGGGCGUGGUGGCGCAUGUCUCUAACCCCAGCUACUCAGGAGGCGGAGGCAAGAGAAUCGCUUGAACCGGGAAGGCGGCGGUUGCAGAGAGCCAAGACCGCGCCAUUGCACUCCAGCCUGGGCGACAGAGCGAAACUCCGUCUCAAAAAAAAAAAAAUUGAUUUUUUUUUCUUUUGCAACUUCUAUUUUAGAAUCGGGGGUACAUAUGCAGGCUUGUUACAGAGGUAUAUUGCAUGGUGCUGAGGUUUGGAGUAUGAACGAAUCCGUCCUUCAGGUAAUGAGCAUAAUACCCAAUAGGUAGUUUCAACCCUUGCCCCCUUCCUCCUUCCCCGCUCUUGUAUUCCCCAGUGUCUGUUGUUCCCAGACAUUGAUCUUUUUCCGCUGUGUUGCUAAGCUGGUAGAAAGGCUGGAGUUGCUGGCAACCAUCUUUGCAACCAUGCAGGGAGAGCUACCUUGGAAAUGAAGCAAGACAAGAAAACAGAUAAAAGGAGACAAAUGUUUGACUUUGUUUGUACAGCUGGAAACCAGCAAUGCUGGAAAUGAGCACUGAAGGCAGUUUAAUGGGUUUGUCACUUGUAACCAAGUGACCCAUGGCAAGCUCACAGAUUUGUAUUGGCAGAAUUCCUCCUUUUAUUUAAAGUGGUACUUUUGGCCAGGCAAGGUGGCUCACACCUGUAAUCCAAAGACUUUGGGAGGCUGAGGCGUGCUGAUCACCCAAAGUCAGAAGUUCGAGAACAGCCUGGCCAAUGUGGCGAAACCCCGUCUCUACUAAAAAUACAAACCAUUAGCUGGUUGCGGCGGCCUUUCUACCAGCUUUUUGUCUCAAAAAAAAAAAGAAAGGUACUUUUGCUUAUCUCUAACCUUCCUCUUCCCCAUAAUUUAACAAUUGCCCAUACUAUCUGUUACUCUGAGCUACUCUCUGCCCCAUUCUCCUCUUAUCCUCAGUUCCCCCCAGGCUGUCAGAGCCAUCUGAAAUGAAAACAUUUAGGCUGGGAAUAGUGGUUCAUGUCUGUAAUCCCAGCACUUUGGGAGGCUGAGGCGGGCGGAUCACCUGAGGUCAGGAGUUCGAGACCACCCUGGCCAACAUGGUGAAACCCCAUCUCUACUAAAAAUACAAAAAUUAGCCAGACAUGGUGGCACAUGCCUCUACUCCCAGCUACUUGGGAGGCUGAGGCAGGAGAAUCGCUUGAACCUAGGAGGCAGGGGUUACAGUGAGCAGAGAUUGAACCACCGCACUCUAGCCUGGGCGACAGAGUGAGACUUUGUCUAAAAAACAUAAAUAAAAUAAAAUGAAAUGAAAACAUUUACUACUUGAAAUCCUUCAGACUCCCCAUCACCUACCUACAGGCAAAACUCUCAAGUUUUUUGUAUGAUUUAACCACUAUCUACCUGUCCAACUUAAAUCUACCCUUCAGUAAUAUUAUACUUGCACCUCCCUGCAUAAACUAUGCUACAAGUUUGGUUAUGCAGUUGCCCACCUUUUAAGGUUCAAGACUUGUCUUCUCCAAAGAGCCACUUCUGCCUCACAGUAAGCUUAGGGCCCGCAACUUACCUGUAACUUUUGUUGCACUUAUGGCCUUUUACAACUAUCAAUUUAUGUAUGUGUCUGUUCUCACUGGUUUAUAAGCUCUCUGAGGACACAGCCUUGCUUGAGUCAUCUGUCAGCAGCCCAAUAUGGGACAAAAAGUGCAUGCAUUGUGAUUACUGAACAGAACUGAUAAAGGCUCAGCAAUUUGCGCUCCAUAGAUCUAAGUUUGAACUUUUCUAGAAAAGGAUUUGCAGGACGAUCUGACCAAUCUUGGGCUUCCAAAUUAGUUCCAACAGUUCUAGUAUUUUUUUUUUUUUGACAGAAGCAAGUAAGUAAGUUUUACUUUGUGAUUAAAACAAAAGUGAAAUGCAUUUAGUCCCAGGAAAUGUCAAUCCUUUCUGCAUCUUACUUUUUUUUUGCUGUGACCUAGAGAUUCUCUUGUUCUCUUCAGUUGUAUUGGUCCAUGAUCACUCAUAGCUUUCAUACAUAUAUAUAUAUAUACAUCUGAAACUCAGAAAAUUCACUAGGUAGGAACUCUUUGGAUGCAUCUCCUUUUUUAACCUCAUCGGGAUGAUUUUUCAUUGCACCAUCAUUUUAUAGAGCUUCCUAGCACUGUUGAGCAUGCCGAAUUUUUGCAAAUGCAAUCCAGAGAAACAGACUUGCUAUAUACUAGCUAUCUGAACUUGUCUGAGCUCAUGUGGCAUGGUCUAAAGAAUACUGAAAUAUUUCUGGCAUACCUCUUAAUUGUAAUCACUUUCUCCAGGUUGCUUUAUGGAUUAAAUGAGAUAAUCUACUAAAGGACUCCAGUAAAAAGCUAAAAAGGUAGCUAGCUUUUGAGGUGCUGUGGCAGACUGGCAUCUAGUGGCCAGCGAUAAAGGUGCAGGCUAGUGUCCACACCUAAGUGGGGACAGUGCAGGCUGUAAUGUCCAUACCUAGUGGGGACAUCAAUGGGGUAUUUGUCAGAGAAGCUCCAUGGCACAGUUUGCACAUUGUUUCUGGCAGUGCAGGUUCAAACCCAGAGUCUGGCUCUCCCAAAGAUUAUCUGAGUUAUUCUAUUAUUUUACAAAGUUUGAAAUAGCCAUUAGAUACCCUUACAAACAUCAUUUUUGUGACUGAUUUUAAGCCUAUUGAAAAUAUCAAAAGAAAUCCAAAACUGAUCGCUAGUUUACCCAUAGCUUAUACAAAAUUAGUAUUAACCAGGCCAGGUGUGGUGGGUCACACCUGUAAUCCCAGCACUUUGGGGCCAGGGGCAGGCGGAUUGCUUGAGCUCAGGAGUUCAAGACCAGCCUGGGCAACAUGGCAAAACUCCAUAUUUACAAAAAAUACAAAAAAUUAGCCGGGCAUGAUGGUGCGUGCUUGUUGUCCCAGCUACUCGGGAGGCUCAGACAGAAGAUCACUUGAGCCUGGGAGGCGGAGGUUGCAGUGAGCCAAGACUGUGCCACUGCACUCCAACCUGGGCAACAGAGACCCCAGCUCAAAAAAGUAAAAUUAGUGUUAACUUGUACUGUUUAGCCACAUGCAUUAAGUUUUUAAUUUUAACUCUACUAUCGCACAACCAGGAAUGUACAAGAGAUCUGGAGCCUGAUUCGCAUGGCAGGAAGGAGACCACGUAUUUUUGUUUGGGAUGGGUUUUAGCCACUAUCAGAGACAUGGUUUGUUUCUUAGGGGUUCGGUCCUAGUAGUAUGAUACUUAGUUCAUUUAGGAACUUCCUUUUUUAAUGGCUAAGAAAACAUUUUAGCUACUAAAUGAUAUGCAAAGAUAACUUUCCAAAUUUAAGCUGUACUCAAAAAUCCACAGAAUCUGCAAAACUCUCAAGUUUCUAUAUUUAAAUAGAAAUGUGUGUUGAUAUACAUACUUUAAUCAGUCAUUUCUUACUUUCAAUAUAUUUUAUUCUGAUGAAGUUACAAAAGUAGAUACAAAACACUUUUUUUUAAAGUACAGUUAACUGACUUAGAAAAAUAGAUAAAGCCCCUAAGGAUUUUAAAACACAACAUAAAUUUUUAUGUAAAGAACAUUUAAAAAUAUUUUAGAUGGUAACCAAAACUAACUUACACAAACUAUUUUUGAUGUAGAAUAGAAUGCUGUUCUAUAAUAAGAAGUCUAUAGCACACUGGUAAUCCAUUUGGAUCUACAGAAUACUUGUUUGGAAUAGAAUCUGAUAAUGAGAGAAAACCCAAAUGAAUGUCAGUGCAGUUGCUUCAAAAAAAUUACUGCUACCACAUGUAGUAUCAUCCCCCAAGGCCUUUUACAGUCUGAAAUACCAAAAUUGAAAGCAAAAAUAGGAUGACCAAAGGACUACUAUUUUACCUCUUUUCAGAACUCUACAAUAGUAGAAACUAAAUCCCCUUAUGGAUCUCAGGGGGAAAUAAUGUGACUGUUGAAGGUGCUCAGUGUUUGGUGUCCAGGCUGGCAUUUUUCAUGUGAGGGUUUCAUACUGACAGGAGGCAGGCUCCUAAAACAAGGCAGUAGCACCAGCACCACGACUAGGGCUGCUUAACAACAAAUUUCUAGGACUUAUACUCUUUGGGCCUGAUUUGUUAAUGCUUAUGAGGUAAUGAUAUUAUGUUUGAGAAGCUCUACUUCUAGUAUAACCUCAAUGCUCAGAGAGAAAGCCAACAACACAAUCAGGAAACCACAAUAUUGACAAAACUUAGUAUUACCACCAAGAUUGUUCCUCUUGCCUUGGCACUACUAAAAAACUUUACCUUUGUUACUAAAGUCAUGGUGAAUACAGAUUUUGCAUUUCUCAUGUAAGCAGCUAUAUAAGCUAGGGUUCUACAAGCCUUAGAUGAAAGGAAAUACUUUGCUGGAAGCCCUGUAAAAAUCACUUUAUUCACAAUCUGAGGAAUGAAAGACAAAUUUGGCUGUCAAUACAAAAACUGUAUUACAAGGAAGUUCAGCUGUUUAAAAAUCUGCACAUCACUGUCCAAGUGUUUUUUGAAGGCCUGAAAAUUAAAGCACCAUAGGAUUAACUGCAUAAUUUAGCAAGCACUCUCCACCCCAUGACCGUCUUCAUGUAUGCAGAGCAGAGAUCAGACACUGAGAGGAGAUGGCUCCUGAUUAGCAAGGGGGAAGGGAGUGAGUGUUAUGGAACAGGCAAACCUUGGGCAUGGAGAGAUAAAAGUGAGAAGAGUCAAAAAGAUUGAUUUCUAUAGGCUGGGCGCAGUGGCUCAUGCCUAUAAUCCCAGCACUUUGGGAGGCUGAGGCGGGCAGAUUGCGAGGUCAGGAGAUGGAGACCAUCCUGGCUAACACAGUGAAACCCCAUCUCUACUAAAAAUACAAAAAAUUAGCCAGGCGUGACUAAAAAUACAAACAUUAGCUGGGCAUGGUGGCGGGCACCUGUCGUUCCAGCUACUCAGGAGAGGCUGGGGCAGAAUGGCGUGAACCCAGGAGGCAGAGCUUGCAGUGAGCCGAGAUCCCGCCACUGUACUCCAGCCUGGGCGACAGAGUGAGACUCUGUCUCAAAAAAAAAAAAAAAAAAGAUUGAUUUUGUCAAACUGUUAUCAAAGGUUAACCCUCUAGCCAACUCAGGAAGGCGCCAUCCUCUUCCCAUUAUCUCCCCUUCUCCAAUUCUCCUCCUCCCCUUGGCUCCCCAGCCUUGGAGGUAAACACUAAUAUUUUGGUGCACUGUUGGUUAAGCCAGAUUGGCUUGGGAACCUCGUAAUGUUUUUAUUUU